rnacentral:rRNA from 1 species
AGCGAACGCUGGCGGCAGGCUUAACACAUGCAAGUCGAACGGGCGUAGCAAUACGUCAGUGGCAGACGGGUGAGUAACACGUGGGAACCUUCCUCGUUGUACGGAACAACUCAGGGAAACUUGAGCUAAUACCGUAUACGUCCGAGAGGAGAAAGAUUUAUCGCAAUGAGACGGGCCCGCGUCGGAUUAGGUAGUUGGUGGGGUAACGGCCUACCAAGCCGACGAUCCGUAGCUGAUCUGAGAGGAUGAUCAGCCACACUGGGACUGAGACACGGCCCAGACUCCUACGGGAGGCAGCAGUGGGGAAUCUUGGACAAUGGGCGCAAGCCUGAUCCAGCCAUGCCGCGUGAGUGAAGAAGGCCUUAGGGUUGUAAAGCUCUUUUACCAGGGACGAUAAUGACGGUACCUGGAGAAUAAGCCCCGGCAAACUUCGUGCCAGCCGCCGCGGUAAUAC